UAACGCGUAUCCAACCUGCCUGUUACCACGGCNCAGCCCGUCGAAAGGCGGAUUAAUGCCGUAUGUGGUCCUUUGCGGGCAUCUAAUUAGGACUAAAGGUUCAGCGGUAACAGAUGGGGAUGCGUCCGAUUAGCUAGACGGCGGGGUAACGGCCCACCGUGGCGACGAUCGGUAGGGGUUCUGAGAGGAAGGUCCCCCACACUGGAACUGAGACACGGUCCAGACUCCUACGGGAGGCAGCAGUGAGGAAUAUUGGUCAAUGGGCGGAAGCCUGAACCAGCCAAGUAGCGUGAGGGAAGACUGCCCUAUGGGUUGUAAACCUCUUUUGUGCGGGGAUAAAGUGUGGGACGUGUCCCAUAUUGCAGGUACCGCACGAAUAAGGACCGGCUAAUUCCGUGCCAGCAGCCGCGGUAAUACGGAAGGUCCGGGCGUUAUCCGGAUUUAUUGGGUUUAAAGGGAGCGCAGGCCGUCCUUUAAGCGUGCUGUGAAAUGCCGCGGCUCAACCGUGGCACUGCAGCGCGAACUGGAGGACUUGAGUACGCACGAGGUAGGCGGAAUUCGUGGUGUAGCGGUGAAAUGCUUAGAUAUCACGAAGAACUCCGAUUGCGAAGGCAGCUUACCGGAGCGCAACUGACGCUGAGGCUCGAAAGCGCGGGUAUCGAACAGGAUUAGAUACCCUGGUAGUCCGCGCGGUAAACGAUGGAUGCCCGCCGU
rnacentral:rRNA from 1 species